CCUACGGGAGGCAGCAGUGGGGAAUAUUGCACAAUGGGGGAAACCCUGAUGCAGCGACGCCGCGUGAGCGAUGAAGUAUUUCGGUUUGUAAAGCUCUAUCAGCAGAGAAGAAAAUGACGGUACCUGACUAAGAAGCCCCGGCUAACUACGUGCCAGCAGCCGAGGUAAUACUUAGGGGGCAAACGUUAUCCGGAUUUACUGGGUGUAAAGGGAGCGUAGACGGUCCUGCAAGCCAGAUGUGAAAGCCCGGGGCUCAACCCCGGGACGGCAUUUGGAACUGUAAGGCUAGAGUGUCGGAGAGGCAGGCGGAAUUCCUGGUGUAGCGGUGAAAUGCGUAGAGAUCGGGAGGAACACCAGUGGCGAAGGCGGCCUGCUGGGCUUUAACUGACGCUGAAGCACGAAAGCGUGGGUAGCAAACAGGAUUAGAUACCCCGGUAGUC
rnacentral:rRNA from 1 species